GAUGAACGCUGGCGGCGUGCCUAACACAUGCAAGUCGAACGAUCAAGCCCAGCUUGUUGUGUUGUUUAGUUGCCAACGGGUGAGUAACACGCGAGUAACCUGCCCUUCUCUCUGGGUUAAGUCUGUGCAACUGGGUCUAAUACUUGCUAUGACUUCUCUUCGCCUGGUUGGGUGUGUAGAGAUUGAUUGGUUUUGGAUGGCCUCUCGGCCUAUCCGCUUGUUGGUGAAGUAAUGGCUCACUAAGGGCACGACGGGUAGCCGGCCUGAGAGGGUGAACGGCCACAAUGGGACUGAGAGACGGAGCAGAAGGCAACGGGAGGCAGCAGGCGAGAAUAUUGCGCAACGGGGGCAAGCCAGAUGCAGAGACGCCGCGAGAGGGAUGACGGGCUUCGGGUUGUAAACCUAUGUCAAUAGGGAAGAAGCGAGAGUGACGGUACCUGCAGAAGAAGCGCCGGCUAACUACGUG
rnacentral:rRNA from 1 species